GGUCUCCGUUGGUGAACCAGCGGAGGGAUCAUUACCGAGUGUAAAAACUCCCAAACCAUUGUGAACCUACCACUGUUGCUUCGGCGGCCUCGCCCCGGGCGCGUUCGCGCGGCCCGGACCCAGGCGUCCGCCGGAGGCUCCAAACUCUUGUCUUUUAGUGUAUUUCUGAGUGGCAUAAGCAAAUAAAUCAAAACUUUCAGCAACGGAUCUCUUGGUUCUGGCAUCGAUGAAGAACGCAGCAAAAUGCGAUAAGUAAUGUGAAUUGCAGAAUUCAGUGAAUCAUCGAAUCUUUGAACGCACAUUGCGCCCGCCAGUAUUCUGGCGGGCAUGCCUGUCUGAGCGUCAUUUCAACCCUCAGGACCCGUUCGCGGGACCUGGCGUUGGGGAUCAGCCUGCCCCUGGCGGCGGCUGGCCCUGAAAUCCAGUGGCGGUUCCCUCGCGAACUCCUCCGUGCAGUAAUUAAACCUCUCGCGGCAGGAUAGCGGUUGAACCACGCCGUUAAACCCCCCACUUCUCAAGGUUGACCUCAGAUCAGGUAGGAAUACCCGCUGAACUUAAGCAU
rnacentral:rRNA from 2 species